GACGAACGCUGGCGGCGUGCUUAACACAUGCAAGUCGAACGAAGUGGCGAACGGGUGAGUAACGCGUAAUCAACCUGCCCUUCAGAGGGGGACAACAGUUGGAAACGACUGCUAAUACCGCAUACUGAAGGAGGGGAUUGCGUCUGAUUAGCUGGUUGGAGGGGUAACGGCCCACCAAGGCGAUGAUCAGUAGCCGGUCUGAGAGGAUGAACGGCCACAUUGGGACUGAGACACGGCCCAGACUCCUACGGGAGGCAGCAGUGGGGAAUAUUGGACAAUGGGCGAAAGCCUGAUCCAGCCAUGCCGCGUGUGUGAAGAAGGUCUUCGGAUUGUAAAGCACUUUAAGUUGGGAGGCGUUACCAACAGAAUAAGCACCGGCUAACUUCGUGCCAGCAGCCGCGGUAAUAC
rnacentral:rRNA from 1 species